AUCCUUGACAGUCCCUGGUAGAAGGGCAAUUGCUGUCCAGGGGAAAGGUGCACAAGGGCCAAUAUUGACUGAGCGUUCCCUUGGCUUCCCAGAUGCCAUCUGACCAACAUCUCCAGGAGGGCUGCCCUGCGUGGCAGGAGGAGACAGAGGAGAGCCCGUGACCAUCGGGCAGGUAGAAUUCCUCUGUUUGUAAAUAUGUUUAUAGAGUCCUAUGGUUUUAUUUAUCAAAGGGUAUAGUUCUAUUUAUAAUUAGAGUGUUCUUUUUAUAUAAGCAUAUAUUGAUAGAUCUGUAGAGUAAAAUAAGGAUAUAUAUUCAGUUAGAGAAGUGAUAUAUUUUAUAAUAAAUUUGUAUUUAUAGAUUUUCAGAGUUUAAUUUUUUUUGUGUAGCGUCCAAAAAGAAAUAUAGAUGAAGUUUCACUUAUAAAUGCGUAUAGUUAUAUAGUAAGAGGAAUAUGAAUAUUUAGAUGGAUAGCUUGCUGUUUGCGUAGGCCUUGGCUGCUUUUUUACCUCUUUGCCCCCUCGGCUGCCUUUCUCACCUCUUGCUUUUCCCCCUGUGCCCCCUGUGUCCCCUCUCCCUGUGCUGAGUCCGAGCUGGCGGCCGGGCUGGCCAGAGCAGCACUUCCAGCCCCGGCUGUCCCUGGAGCGGUGGGAGCUGCCGCUGGCCCAAGGCACUGUCCCCUGAGGAGCUGCUGAAGGACGCUUCAUGGAAGACCUCGAGGACAGCCAGAGACGGACAGGAGCCAGCAGAGAGAAGCUGAAGGCCAGCAGCAGGAGCAGGGAACAGGGACCUGCUGCUGCCACCCUAGAGAGAGCUCGGAUGUCCCAUCUGCUGUCCCUGUCCAGGAGAGCUGCUCUGCACGGGAGGAGGAGACCGAGGGAGAGAGGCUUUGAAGAUGGGGCAGCUGGGAUCCUUCUGCUUCGUGUGCGAUGUAAAGAUACGCGGACUUGCAUGGACUAACUAAUAAUUACAUUGAUAUUUUCAUAUGUAGCUUGCGAUUUGCAUAGGUCUAUUUCUAUACAUAUGUUGUUAUAUUUAUGAAUGUAUUCUGUAUAUAUGUACAUAUAGAUAUAUAUGCAUUUGCUGUUGCAUAUUUGUGUAAAUAUGUAUCUAGUUUUUUAUGUAUGUUGUAAUAUCUGUGUUUAGUUCUUUUUCCAUAUGUGUACAGCUUUCUAGGUGUUUAUAUUUAUUGAUCUAGUUUUCAGUAUAUGUCUUUUAAAAUUAGUGUAUUGGUAUUUGUGUUGGUCGAUAUGCCUAUUUUCAUUUUUUUUUUUGUAUAUUGACCUAUUUCUAUGUAAUGAUAUUUACACAUGUCUCCUGAUGUAUAGCUGUAUAUUUGUAUGGAUGCAGUUGGAUUGAUGUUUAGAUUGGUACUGUAAUAUUUGUUUAUGUAUGGAUAGCUGGGGUUUAUGUAUCAUUUUUUUAUAUAUAUAUAUGUAUAUAGUAUAUAGUCUGUAAUAUACUAUGUAUAUUUACAUCUGUAGAUUGAUAUAGAUGUAUUUUUUUAUAUGUGCAUAUAUGUAUGUAUUUAGUUCUAUUUAAAGAUGUAUGGGAGGUAUAGUUGCAUAACUAUUAAAUUCUUAGUAUAAGGCUAUUUAGUGAAGGAGUGCUUAUUUUUGUAUUUGUCUUUGGGGUCUACAUUUGUAGUAAUAUGUAAUAAAUUAAGUUGUUAAACGCCUAAUUGAUCUUUGUGUAUAGUGAGUUGUGUAUAGUAGAGGCUAGCAAUAAAUCAAGUUUGGUUAAGUGAACUUGGUAUUUGUAUAUUUUUACAUAGACUGGUUGUAAUAAUCUAAUAAAUUCCUUUUUUUACCCUAAAUUGAGAUCUGUUUAGUUCUGUAUUGUCAGCAUGGGUGUAGCAGUUUGUAAUAAAUGACAUUUUUCAACUGAAA